GGUUGAUCCUGCCAGCAAUCAUAUGCUUGUCUCAAAGAUUAAGCCAUGCAUGUCUAAGUAUAAGCGAUCGUACGGCGAAACUGCGAACGGCUCAUUAUAUCAGUUAUAAUCCACUCGAUCGAUGAGGUUACUUGGAUAACCGUAGGAAUUCUAGAGCUAAUACAUGCGAAGGGUCCGGCGCCGGGGCGACCCGGCGACGGACGCGUUUAUUGGAACGGAAACCGGGCGGGGCACGCCCCCUCGGGAGACCGGGGGGGCCCGUCGAACGGACGAUUCACG
rnacentral:rRNA from 1 species